AUUCAGUCAGCAAUACUGCUCACUGACGUGCACUCCUUUUUUCACCAGGGGGAGUAUUAUUCGACUACCCAACCGACGGCCUCACUCGCCCACUGUCUCCUACUACCCCUGCUCUCAAACACAGCACAGAGUUUCUUCAGAAUAUAAGAUGGCUAUACCAUAACUUCGAUCGUUUUCAGCUGUCAGAUUUCGAGGAGCAGGAAAUAUCAAAUAUCUUUGUGUUUUCAAAAUCAACAACGAAUGUAUUCAAGGGAGUACUAUUUUUUAAAAUAGAAUUGAAUUCUUUAUUAAAUAAUAAAUUUAGAUUUCGGACAUUUCAGAAAUUUCGGUUGUUUCAAUUAACUUCAGCAAUUUAAUGCUGUGGUUGGACUGUGGGGGCUUUGUAGACCGUAGUGGCGGUGUAACCGGACCAUUUUUGGCUGGGGCAGUGUAAGUGGGAGUAGAAGGCUUGUAAGUAGGAGCGGAGUAGGUGUUAGCUUUAUAGUUGGAUGCGACGUAUUCGGGGUACUUGUUGCAUAGGUGUACUUGACGUCUGCAGUGUAACCGUAUUUUUAGAAAUAUUUUUAG